rnacentral:misc_RNA from 1 species
GAUGAAGAACGUAGCGAAAUGCGAUAAGUAAUGUGAAUUGCAGAAUUCAGUGAAUCAUCGAAUCUUUGAACGCACAUUGCGCCCGCCAGUAUUCUGGCGGGCAUGCCUGUUCGAGCGUCAUUUCAACCAUCAAGCCCCCGGCUUGUGUUGGGGACCUGCGGCUGCCGCAGGCCCUGAAAACCAGUGGCGGGCUCGCUAGUCACUCCGAGCGUAGUAGUUACAUCUCGCUCAGGGCGUGCUGCGGGUUCCGGCCGUUAAAAGCCUUAUUUAACCAAGGUUGACCUAGGAUCAGGUAGGAAGACCCGCUGAACUUAAGCAUAUCAAUAAGCGGAGGA